UAGGGAAUCUUCGGCAAUGGGGGGAACCCUGACCGAGCAACGCCGCGUGAGUGAAGAAGGUUUUCGGUUCGUAAAGCUCUGUUGUUAAGGAAGAACGAGCGUGAGAAUGGAAAGUUCAUGCUGUGACGGUACUUAACCAGAAAGGGACGGCUAACUACGUGCCAGCAGCCGCGGUAAUACGUAGGUCCCGAGCGUUGUCCGGAUUUAUUGGGCGUAAAGCGAGCGCAGGCGGUUAGAAAAGUCUGAAGUGAAAGGCAGUGGCUCAACCAUUGUAGGCUUUGGAAACUGUUUAACUUGAGUGCAGAAGGGGAGAGUGGAAUUCCAUGUGUAGCGGUGACAUACGUAGAUAUGUGGAGGAACACCGGUGGCGAAAGCGGCUCUCUGGUCUGUAACUGACGCCGAGGCUCGAAAGCGUGGAGAGCGAACAGG
rnacentral:rRNA from 1 species